AUGCCGGUGAGCAGGAUCGCCAUCGGCGCCCCGGGGGAGCUGUCCCACCCGGACACCUUCCGCGCCGGCGUCGCCGAGUUCAUCUCCAUGCUCAUCUUCGUCUUCGCCGGCUCAGGCUCCGGCAUGGCCUUCGGCAAGCUGACUGACGGCGGCGCGACGACGCCGGCGGGGCUUAUCGCGGCGGCGCUGGCGCACGCGUUCGCGCUCUUCGUGGCCGUCUCCGUGGGCGCCAACAUCUCCGGCGGGCACGUGAACCCGGCCGUCACAUUCGGCGCCUUCGUGGGCGGCAACAUCAGCCUGCUCAAGGCCGUGGUGUACUGGGUGGCGCAGCUGCUCGGCUCCGUCGUGGCCUGCCUCCUCCUCAAGAUCGCCACCGGCGGCGAGGCCGUGGGCGCCUUCUCGCUCUCCGCCGGCGUCGGCGUCUGGAACGCCGUGGUGUUCGAGAUCGUCAUGACCUUCGGGCUCGUCUACACGGUGUACGCCACCGCGGUCGACCCCAAGCGCGGCGACCUCGGGGUGAUCGCGCCCAUCGCCAUCGGCUUCAUCGUCGGCGCCAACAUCCUCGCCGGCGGCGCCUUCGACGGCGCCUCCAUGAACCCCGCCGUCUCCUUCGGCCCCGCUGUCGUCAGCGGCGUCUGGGAGAACCACUGGGUCUACUGGCUCGGCCCCUUCGCCGGCGCCGCCAUCGCCGCCCUCGUCUACGACAUCUGCUUCAUCGGCCAGCGCCCCCACGAGCAGCUCCCCACCGCCGACUACUGA
rnacentral:rRNA from 1 species